CCCCAGGUAAAGGAAAAGGAGUGGGCACCUGACCAAAAAAGCCAAUGGGAGGGCUAGAACUUUUUAAAAUGGGGGAAAAAAAAAAACCCUUCCCUUUGUCUGCCUGUUGUGGUUCUCCAGGAAAGAGCGGAGACACAGAGCAGCAAUGCUGUAAGCAGCUUUAAAAUCAGGCCCACAGUGCAGAAGCAGUGAAGGUUGCAAGAGUUGCGUGGUUCACUUCUAACUGAGUGGGGCACUUGAGAAGACAAUCAUCCAGAUAAAGGAAUAUGAGGACCCCUUUUUUUCUGAGAUGUGCUAUUGCAACUCCUAGCACCUUUGAGAAGACACAUGGUGCAGUGGAGAGGCCAAAUGGGAGGAUCUGUAUUGGUAUUGUUGCAUUCCCCGGCAAACCUGAGGAAACGUCGAUGGUCAGGGUGUUUGGAUGCCUAAGGAUUGGAUUGUGGCAUGUGAGUCCUUCAUGGAGUGAAGGAUCUCAUUGGUCGAAGAAGUGAAGAGCUUAUCUCCAUCAAAGGGGAGAUCUUUGACAGUAUUCUGUAUCUCCUUUUGAAAGGAGGAAGAAGCAAACCACGAGGCCCACUGCAUGAUGACGGCUUGGCUGUGGAUCUGGCAACUGCGUCCGCAGCAUCAAGGGCAACUUGAAGAGCUGUCCGGGAGAUCAAUUGACCCUCGGAUACACUGCUUUAAACUGUUGUUGUUUAUCCUCUGACAUAUCAUCAAUAAAUUGCAUUACUUUA